UCUGGACCAAAGUGACAGCCAAAGUGAUCUUCGUGAUCUCUUACAUCUCAACAUCGAUCUUAGCAGAAAAGUGAAUUGGCUGUUGACAACUCCUGCUAUAACUGAGAGCCUCAUUGUCUGUGACACGACCAAAGCAGUCAAAGUCUAUAGUGCUUCCUAUUUAUGCAACCUGAAGCUGCGGAAAGCAGGAGCUCCUCUGCUGCAUAAUGGACGAUGCUCUUGAUGAGCUGGUGGGGCAUUUUAUGUUCACGAUUGUCGUAAUGCUUGGAAUUUUAGGCUAGACCAGAUGGGGACCUGUUCUCUCAAGUGAACCGCCAUUACUACUUGGUGAUGAGGCGGCUACAUCCUACAGCGGGAGGGCUGCUGAGUCUCCACCGAGCGAAGCUUCAAGAAUGCCGGGGUAUUGGAGCGUACUGACCUUGCUUAAAGUUUAAAAAUUGAUAUAGUCACAGCGUAUGCUCUGCUUUACAAGGUGAUUUGUUUACCAGAGUUCAUCGGUUUUUAUA